UACGUAGGGGGCGAGCGUUUGUCCGGAGUUACUGGGCGUAAAGGGCACGCAGGCGGUGCGGCGCGUUUCGCGUGACAGCGGAGGGCUUAACUCUCCGAGGAUGCGAAAGACGGCGGCACUUGAGGGCCAGAGAGGGACACGGAAUUCCGGGUGGAGUGGUGAAAUGCGUAGAGAGUCCGGAGGAACACCGGAAGGCGAAGGCAGUGUCCUGGCUGGUGACUGACGCUGAGGUGCGAAAGCUAGGGGAGCGAACGGG
rnacentral:rRNA from 1 species